AUAACAAUACAGGAGUCUUUAGAGGCCCUGUAAUUGCAAUGAGUCCACUUGAAAUCCUUUAACUAUGAUCAAUUGGAGGGCAAGUCUGGUGCAGAGCGACUGACCUGUGCGUGCUGCAG